ensembl:lncRNA
AUGAACACGCCUGAGCAGGGAGGUGAGGGAAGGUCAGCCAGCAGCACCAGCCCCUGGGGCAGAGAGAGGGCUGAGUGUGACUGCAGCAGCCCAGCAGGAUGCUGGCAUGGGGAACAGUGUAGUGCAAGAGGAACCACAAAGGCAAGGGGACACAUGCAGAGUAACCACAGAAGGUUACUGCAACAAGCACUGGAAAAUGCUGGAGUACAGCAUAGGAGAAGACAGCAAAGAUGCAGAAUUCCCUGCAGCCACAAACCUGGAGCUGCCUCUUCUACAGAUCCAUGUCAGCAAGGUCAGGACCUGCCCAGCAGAAAAGAGGGAAUCCUGUUUCAUUACCACACGCCCAGGAAAGCCCAGUGUGACAAUUUGUAUGUGGAGCCUUCAUGCAGAAUUGCUGUGCUACAGCCUCCAGCUCGCUCCUGAAGGGAGCCAUGGGAUGUACAGCCUUUAAUGCUGAAUGUUCAACCCUGGUGAAAAUCUCAGAAUGCCAUUAGUGUGCUGUCCCCUAUCACUUGUUUCUGCUCAGCCACUGCCCAUGGUUUAGAUUACAUCUAAUGCCAGCAGACAAGCAGGACGUGUCCGUGUGCCAUCAGAGUCAUCAGCCACGUUUGUGAUCAACGUCACCCCAGCAGGCACCCACGUCAGGGAAAGCAGGUCCUGGUGAGCUCUUUUUAGAAGGCCUGGCAUCGUUCCCCAAACUGGUUCUCCAUGAAUAGACUUGGGUGUCUGCCAGGGGCCUCACUUGCACACAGCCAGAUGCAGUGGGGUCUGGACAUCACCCCUCCAACCAGGACCCUUCUAUCCCCACAGCUCAGUCCCACUACCUGUUCCUUUUACAUUUAACUUACAUUCUUUCCCCCCCCCAUAUUCUCUUUUAUUCAUUCUUGCAUCACCCUUUUUCCUCUGUCCUCACAUUAGCCACUCUCUGCAUUACAAAAGUUCCCUACAUUUUUAGCUAUGAGCAAAAAGCAUUAAAAAUGCAAUAUUUGGACAACAUAAAAUCCUAAUAAUCCUGUUUCUACAUGCUUUGACUUCUGCCUCUGCUGGAGGCAUCACUUGUCCUGCCUACAGCUGAACCAAGAAUAAGUGUGGGGGAAACACACUGCAUGUUCUAGUAUUUGUAAAUUAUUAGACUUCUGAGGUUAUGUAAUAAUUUUAUCUCCUUUUUUUUUUUUAUUUUCUUAGCAAUCGGUGAUACCAGAAAUGCAGAGAUCAAGAGACUGAUAUUAUGUACUAGCUAAACCUUCCUGUAAGUACUUAAUAGCCUUCCAGUAUAUAAGGCUUCAGCACAAGAAAACAGGGGUCAUGAAAGCAGGACCUCAGUGAAGACUCACAAGUUGCUGUAAUAUGAUGUGUAAAUACUUAAUAUGUGUAUGUUUCAUUUUGUCAGUCCUGUAAAUUAACUUUUUAUCUGGUGAUUCAAUUCUCUUAUCAUCCCCAGCUUGUUUACUGAAUUUUAAGUCUUGGGCAAGAUGAAGCAAGCUCAUGAGGAGUUGCUGGUUUUCAAAAGAUACAAGCUCCAGAUAACCGAGGACAAGUAAGGCACACAACAAUAUUGAAAUCACUCAGAGUUUUAUUGCAGCUGACUGAGACAGAGUGUGCUUUGAGGCUGGGAAAUUUCCAUUACUGAACUGCAGGACAGUGCCUGAAUACUGCUACUACUGCAGUUGAAAAAUAAAGGCAACUUAAUUUUAUAUAGACA